rnacentral:rRNA from 1 species
AUUGAACGCUGGCGGCAUGCCUUACACAUGCAAGUCGAACGGUAACAGGUCUUCGGAUGCUGACGAGUGGCGAACGGGUGAGUAAUACAUCGGAACGUGCCCGAUCGUGGGGAUAACGAAGCGAAAGCUUUGCUAAUACCGCAUAAGAUCUACGGAUGAAAGCAGGGGACCGCAAGGCCUUGCGCGAACGGAGCGGCCGAUGGCAGAUUAGGUAGUUGGUGGGAUAAAAGCUUACCAAGCCGACGAUCUGUAGCUGGUCUGAGAGGACGACCAGCCACACUGGGACUGAGACACGGCCCAGACUCCUACGGGAGGCAGCAGUGGGGAAUUUUGGACAAUGGGCGAAAGCCUGAUCCAGCCAUGCCGCGUGCAGGAUGAAGGCCUUCGGGUUGUAAACUGCUUUUGUACGGAACGAAAAGACUCUUUCUAAUAAAGAGGGUCCAUGACGGUACCGUAAGAAUAAGCACCGGCUAACUACGUGCCAGCCGCCGCGGUAAUAC